rnacentral:rRNA from 1 species
UACGUAGGGUGCGAGCGUUGUCCGGAAUUAUUGGGCGUAAAGGGCUCGUAGGCGGUUUGUCGCGUCGGGAGUGAAAACUCAGGGCUUAACUCUGAGCCUGCUUCCGAUACGGGCAGACUAGAGGUAUGCAGGGGAGAACGGAAUUCCUGGUGUAGCGGUGAAAUGCGUAGAUAUCAGGAGGAACACCGGUGGCGAAGGCGGGUCUCUGGGCCGUAACUGACGCUGAGGAGCGAAAGCAUGGGGAGCGAACAGG